AUUGAACGCUGGCGGCAUGCUUUACACAUGCAAGUCGAACGGCAGCACGGGGCAACCCUGGUGGCGAGUGGCGAACGGGUGAGUAAUGCAUCGGAACGUGCCCAGUAGUGGGGGAUAACGCGUCGAAAGAUGUGCUAAUACCGCAGAAGCACUAGGGUGGAAAGCGGGGGAUCGCAAGACCUCGCGCUAUUGGAGCGGCCGAUGUCCGAUUAGCUAGUUGGUGGGGUAAUAGCCCACCAAGGCAACGAUCGGUAGCUGGUCUGAGAGGAUGAUCAGCCACACUGGGACUGAGACACGGCCCAGACUCCUACGGGAGGCAGCAGUGGGGAAUUUUGGACAAUGGGCGCAAGCCUGAUCCAGCCAUGCCGCGUGAGUGAAGAAGGCCUUCGGGUUGUAAAGCUCUUUCGGCCGGAACGAAAUCGUCCGAGCUAAUACCUCGGAUGGAUGACGGUACCGGAAGAAGAAGCACCGGCUAACUACGUGCCAGCAGCCGCAGUAACAC
rnacentral:rRNA from 1 species